rnacentral:rRNA from 1 species
GAUGAACGCUGGCGGCGUGCCUAAUACAUGCAAGUCGAGCGAACAGAUGAGGAGCUUGCUCCUCUGACGUUAGCGGCGGACGGGUGAGUAACACGUGGAUAACCUACCUAUCAGACUGGGAUAACUUCGGGAAACCGGAGCUAAUACCGGAUAAUAUAUUGAACCGCAUGGUUCAAUAGUGAAAGACGGUUUUGCUGUCACUUCUAGAUGGAUCCGCGCCGCAUUAGCUAGUUGGUAAGGUAACGGGUUACCAAGGCAACGAUGCGUAUCCGACCUGAGAGGGUGAUCGGCCACACUGGAACUUAGACACGGUCCAGACUCCUACGGGAGGCAGCAGUAGGGAAUCUGCCGCAAUGGGCGAAAGCCUGACGGAGCAACGCCGCGUGAGUGAUGAAGGUCUUCGGAUCGUAAAACUCUGUUAUUAGGGAAGAACAAAUGUGUAAGUAACUAUGCACGUCUUGACGGUACCUAAUCAGAAAGCCACGGCUAACUACGUG